GACGAACGCUGGCGGCGUGCUUAACACAUGCAAGUCGAACGGAAAGGCCCUGCUUUUGUGGGGUGCUCGAGUGGCGAACGGGUGAGUAACACGUGAGUAACCUGCCCUUGACUUUGGGAUAACUUCAGGAAACUGGGGCUAAUACCGGAUAGGAUCUCCUGCUGCAUGGUGGGGGUUGGAAAGUUUCGGCGGUUUGGGAUGGGCUCGCGGCUUAUCCGCUUGUUGGUGGGGUAGUGGCUUACCAAGGCUUUGACGGGUAGCCGGCCUGAGAGGGUGACCAGCGACAUUGGGACUGAGAAACGGCCCAGAAUACAACGGGAGGCAGCAGUGGGGAAUAGUGCACAAUGGGCGGAAGCCUGAUGCAGCAACGCCGCGUGCGGGAUGACGGCCUUCGGGUUGUAAACCGAUUUCGCCUGUGACGAAGAGUGAGUGACGGUAAUGGGUAAAGAAGCACCGGCUAACUACGUA
rnacentral:rRNA from 1 species